rnacentral:lncRNA from 1 species
GUACACGUGCCACGGCCUAGGGGGAAAUCAGUACUUUGAGUAUUCUGCUCAGCGAGAAAUCCGACACAACAUCCAGAAGGAGUUAUGUCUUCAUGCUACUCAGGGUGUUGUCCAGCUGAAGGCAUGUGUCUAUAAAGGUCACAGGACAAUCGCCCCUGGAGAACAGAUAUGGGAGAUUCGGAAGGUGAGCCGCGGUUCAUCCAUCCAUUCGAUAGCUUACUUUGAAGGGCUCUAAUUGCUUCACCAUGCUAUAUCAGAGUUUCUUCACCUUCACCAACGCCACAAUUAUUGCAUGUCCCCCUGUGUGAUAAGAGAACGUAUCUAGGUAUUAAGUAGCCAUGGGAA